rnacentral:rRNA from 1 species
UACGGGGGGGAGCAAGCGUUGUUCGGAUUUACUGGGCGUAAAGGGCGCGUAGGCGGCCAGCACAAGUCAGUUGUGAAUCUCCGAGCUUAACUCGGAAAGGUCAACUGAUACUGUGCGGCUAGAGUGCGGAAGGGGCAACUGGAAUUCUUGGUGUAGCGGUGAAAUGCGUAGAUAUCAAGAGGAACACCUGCGGCGAAGGCGGGUUGCUGGGCCGACACUGACGCUGAGGCGCGAAAGCCAGGGGAGGCGAACGGG